AUUGAACGCUGGCGGUAGGCUUAACACAUGCAAGUCGUGCGAGAAAGUAUCUUCGGAUAUGAGUAGAGCGGCGGACGGGUGAGUAACGCGUAGGAAUCUACCUAGUAGAAGGGGAUAGCCCGGGGAAACUCGGAUUAAUACCGUGUACCUCCUUCGGGAGAAAGAAGGCCUCUCUUUGAAGCUUUCGCUAUUAGAUGAGCCUGCGUAAGAUUAGCUUGUUGGUGAGGUAAAGGCUCACCAAGGCGACGAUCUUUAGCGGGUCUGAGAGGACGAUCCGCCACAUUGGGACUGAGACACGGCCCAGACUCCUACGGGAGGCAGCAGUGGGGAAUAUUGGACAAUGGGCGCAAGCCUGAUCCAGCCAUACCGCGUGUGUGAAGAAGGCCCUAGGGUUGUAAAGCACUUUAAGUUGGGAAGAAAAGUUAUUGGUUAAUACCCAAUAACCGUGACAUUACCAUCAGAAUAAGGACCGGCUAAUUCCGUGCCAGCAGCCGCGGUAAUACGGAAGGUCCAAGCGUUAAUCGGAAUUACUGGGCGUAAAGCGCGCGUAGGUGGUUUAUUAAGUUGGAUGUGAAAUCCCCGGGCUCAACCUGGGAACUGCAUCCAAAACUGAUUCACUAGAGUACGAUAGAGGGAGGUAGAAUUCACAGUGUAGCGGUGGAAUGCGUAGAUAUUGUGAAGAAUACCAAUGGCGAAGGCAGCCUCCUGGAUCUGUACUGACACUGAGGUGCGAAAGCGUGGGUAGCGAACAGGAUUAGAUACCCUGGUAGUCCACGCCGUAAACGAUGUCAACUAGCUGUUGGAAAACUAUGUUUUUCAGUGGCGCAGCUAACGUAGUAAGUUGACCGCCUGGGGAGUACGGCCGCAAGGCUAAAACUCAAAUGAAUUGACGGGGACCCGCACAAGCGGUGGAGCAUGUGGUUUAAUUCGAUGCAACGCGAAAAACCUUACCUAUACUUGACAUACUUGGAAUGCUUUGUAAUGAAGCAGUGCCUUCGGGAGCCAAGAUACAGGUGCUGCAUGGCUGUCGUCAGCUCGUGUCGUGAGAUGUUCCGUUAAGUCGGAUAACGAGCGCAACCCUUACCCUUAUUUGCCAGCGAUUCGGUCGGGAACUAUAAGGGGACUGCCGGUGAUAAACCGGAGGAAGGUGAGGACGACGUCAAGUCAUCAUGGCCCUUACGUAUAGGGCUACACACGUGCUACAAUGGAGAAUACAGACGGACGCUAAGCCGCGAGGUGGUGCUAAUCCUAGAAAAUUCUUCGUAGUCCGGAUUGGAGUCUGCAACUCGACUCCAUGAAGUCGGAAUCGCUAGUAAUCGCGAAUCAGCAUGUCGCGGUGAAUACGUUCUCGGGUCU
rnacentral:rRNA from 1 species